AUUGAACGCUGGCGGAAUGCUUUACACAUGCAAGUCGAACGGCAGCACGGACGUCGGUCUGGUGGCGAGUGGCGAACGGGUGAGUAAUACAUCGGAACGUGCCCAGUCGUGGGGGAUAACGUAGCGAAAGCUACGCUAAUACCGCAUACGAUCUAAGGAUGAAAGCGGGGGAUCGCAAGACCUCGCGCGAUUGGAGCGGCCGAUGGCAGAUUAGGUAGUUGGUGGGGUAAAGGCUCACCAAGCCGACGAUCUGUAGCUGGUCUGAGAGGACGACCAGCCACAAUGGGACUGAGACACGGCCCAGACUCCUAAGGGAGGCAGCAGUGGGGAAUUUUGGACAAUGGGCGCAAGACUGAUCCAGCAAUGCGGCGUGCAGGAUGAAGGCCUUCGGGUUGUAAACUGCUUUUGUACGGAACGAAACGGCCCUUUCUAAUACAGGGGGCUAAUGACGGUACCGUAAGAAUAAGCACCGGCUAACUACGUGCCAGCCGCCGCCGUAA
rnacentral:rRNA from 1 species